UGCAUCCAUGGUCAGUUUGUGUCCAGGGGCGUACAUACAGGGGUCGCAAGGGUCGCAGUUGCGACCGGGCCCAGCACUACAGGGGGCCCGGCCGCCUGUGGACCCCUGUCCCCGCCCUGCAGUAGUUCUGUGGGUGCUGCGCCUGCCUGUAUAACCCGGGCGGCCGA